rnacentral:misc_RNA from 1 species
GAUGAAGAACGCAGCGAAAUGCGAUAAGUAAUGUGAAUUGCAGAAUUCAGUGAAUCAUCGAAUCUUUGAACGCACCUUGCACCCUUUGGCUAUUCCGAAGGGUAUGCCUGUUUGAGUAUCAUGAACACCUCAACUCUUAUGGUUUGCCAUGAUGAGCUUGGACUUUGGGGGUCUUGCUGGCCUGUGGUCAGCUCCUCUCAAAUGGAUUAGCUUGCCAGUGUUUGGUGGCAUCACAGGUGUGAUAACUAUCUACGCUUGUGGUUUUCCACCAGGUAACCUUCAGCAAUGGGGGUUCGCUGGGGCUCAUAAAUGUCUCUCCUCAGUGAGGACAGCUCUUUGAACGUUUGAUCUCAAAUCAGGUAGGACUACCCGCUGAACUUAAGCAUAUCAAUAAGCGGAGA